rnacentral:lncRNA from 1 species
GGUAUCAAACGUGGGAAAUGCAUUUAAAAUAUGACCUAGAAAUCGUGCUCAAGGAUUCAUACCUCAUAUCAUUUCAACGAAAGUAGGUGUUAAAAUCUGAACCACAAGGCAGAGCUGUCUGGAGAGAUAAUUGUGAUGGUCAACAUGGAUUAUCAGCUUAACCAAACUUUGGAUACACCUAUGUUGAAGUAUCAAGAUUAGACUAACGUAAGUAAGGAGACUCAUAUUAAGUGUGGAUGGCAUGAUUUCAUGUGCUGGAAUCCCAGACUACAUAAAGAGAAAUGGGAGCAGAGCAUGGACAUUCAUCUCUCUGCUUCAUAAGUGUGGACUAAAAGUGAUCUGCUGUCUUAUACUCCAGCCACCUCCAGAUGGUGAGUGCAGAUACACUCCUGCAAUCACAAUCACAAGAUAGGGAGUGUCGAUACACUCCUGAAUCAACAGUGAACACAGACACACUACUGCAACCAUACACAGUGACACAGACAUACUCCUGCAAUCACACACAGUGACACAAAUAUAUUCCUGACACCAAAGAGAGUAUGCACAGAUACUCUCCUGCAACCACAGACAGUGACACAGAUAUCCUCCUACCACCACAGAUACACCUUGCCUCUUUGUGUUUGUCAGAAUGUCAAGAAAAGAAAGGAAACCAGAAGCCUGGAAAGUAUUAGUAAUGAACAGAGUCAGAGAGGUCAUGAUAGAUAUCCCAGAGAAUAGCAUGGCCCCAUCUACCAU